rnacentral:rRNA from 1 species
GAUGAACGCUGGCGGCGUGCCUAAUACAUGCAAGUCGAGCGAACAGACGAGGAGCUUGCUCCUCUGACGUUAGCGGCGGACGGCUGAGUAACACGUGGAUAACCUACCUAUAAGACUGGGAUAACUUCGGGAAACCGGAGCUAAUCCCGGAUAAUAUAUUGAACCGCAUGGUUCAAUAGUGAAAGACGGUUUUGCUGUCACUUAUAGAUGGAUCCGCGCCGCAUUAGCUAGUUGGUAAGGUAACGGCUUACCAAGGCGACGAUGCGUAGCCGACCUGAGAGGGUGAUCGGCCACACUGGAACUGAGACACGGUCCAGACUCCUACGGGAGGCAGCAGUAGGGAAUCUUCCGCAAUGGGCGAAAGCCUGACGGAGCAACGCCGCGUGAGUGAUGAAGGUCUUCGGAUCGUAAAACUCUGUUAUAAGGGAAGAACAAAUGUGUAAGUAACUAUGCACGUCUUGACGGUACCUGAUCAGAAAGCCACGGCUAACUACGUG